CCAAGCUCCAAAUACACUUCCCUGGUGACUUUUCAGAAUUGCUGCUUGAGGUGAUUUCAGCAAAGGAAGGUAUGGGAUGCACUUCUUCAAAGCUGGAAUGUUUGGAUUGAACAUGCAAAGUCUCUAAAACUGGAAGAGCAUCUCUGUGAUGCACUGAAGUACAGCCUAAAAAUCUGCAGUGUGGUGGCAGUGGUAAUAUGAUAUUUUCUAGACUUUAUUGAAUGACCAGUAUUCCAGUAAAGUUCUCAUUUCAUUUGUGAAUUUUAAGAUUUUGGAAAGGAAUGCCUCUACUCUGUGGUUGCAGGCCUUUCCAAAAGGACAUCUGCUUCCACUUAUUCACAGUCUCUGCUUCCAGACUAGAACAGUUAUGGAAAGAGGGGAUGCUCUGAUCACAGUUCUUAACUGAGUCUCUUUCAGGAUAUUAUACAGAAUUACAUAUUGAUUAAGACUGAAUCAGGAUUAAUUUAUAUUGUGUUUUGUAUGGUUUUGUAGCAUCCAUAUGGAUCAUUUAUUCUUAUUUCCAGUCUUAUUUCCAGAUAAAAUGAGCUCUUGUCCUCAGAUGAACCAAGUGUAGUCAUGUACCUUUCACAAUUUGAAUAAUACAUGCCACUAAAGACAUGGGGACAAGAUCUUCGUGUGAUAAUGGUUUAUAUUGCUGCACACUAGUGUCUUGGCAUGUUGAGAUCUACAGCACAAAAAAUGUGAAGGUUCUGUCUUUCAUAUACUGAUUAUUACCUAAAAACUCUGCAAGAUAAGCAAGUAUGAGAAAUCAUAAGACUGCUAUUUUGUCAGGUUCUUCGGUACUUGGACAAGUGAUCAACAAUGAAAUUGUUCUACUAUCUUGGAGCUGCUUGGACAACUAUCCACACAUCCUCUGAACCAAAAAAAGAAAGGAGGCAGACAAAUUGCCAAGAUUCCAGACAGUAAGGUUGCCUGCAGAAGGAGAAAAUGCUUUAAUGGGGAAGUCAGAGAGUAGCUUAAACUGAUGCUCAUUGAGGCCAUUUUCCUAUGCAAUCUUCUUCUUGCUUUCUCAAAUCCAGAAUCAGUCAGUGAAGACAAUCUCUACCUUGAGACAUGAGGAAUUAAAUAGUGACUGCCAAUCCCUGUUGCCAGGUGGGCUGGGGGAA
rnacentral:lncRNA from 1 species